rnacentral:lncRNA from 1 species
UGAGUGAUUCAGGCUAUUUUCCUUGAUAAACAUGAUGGGCUCCAUGUUGACCUGUAAAGGAUGGGAAAGUAGAUUGUGCUACCUCAUUUGCCACUGCGGAAGCAACCCAAACUCCACCUGGGACCACUCAUCUCCUUACCAUCUUCAGCUGCAGGAAAGCAGUGUUUGGAGGGAUUUAGCAGUUGUGGACCAUGGUUUCUGUUUCAGAUGGAUUAGGUGGCAAGAGUUUGGGGGUAAGCCAGGAAGAAGUUGUACCCUGAGGACUGGAAAGCAGAGGCACCAGGAAAAGGUACAACAAACAUGAAGGAUUUUAUUCCACAUGAUAAUGGUUGUUUCUAGUUCCUUUUCCAAGGUCACUUAUUCUGCCAUUUGAUAUGCUUGGAAGCUG